CAACAGGGAUUGCCCCAGUAACGGCGAGUGAAGCGGCAACAGCUCAAAUUUGAAAUCUGGCUCCAGGGCCCGAGUUGUAAUUUGUAGAGGAUGCUUUUGGUGAGGUGCCUUCCGAGUUCCCUGGAACGGGACGCCACAGAGGGUGAGAGCCCCGUCUGGUUGGACACCGAGCCUCUGUAAAGCUCCUUCGACGAGUCGAGUAGUUUGGGAAUGCUGCUCUAAAUGGGAGGUAUAUGUCUUCUAAAGCUAAAUACCGGCCAGAGACCGAUAGCGCACAAGUAGAGUGAUCGAAAGAUGAAAAGAACUUUGAAAAGAGAGUUAAACAGUACGUGAAAUUGUUGAAAGGGAAGCGCUUGUGACCAGACUUGGGCUUGGUUGAUCAUCCGGGGUUCUCCCCGGUGCACUCUUCCGGCCCAGGCCAGCAUCAGUUCGCCCUGGGGGAAAAAGGCGCCGGGAACGUGGCUCCCUCCGGGGAGUGUUAUAGCCCGGUGCGUAAUACCCUGUGGCGGACUGAGGUUCGCGCAUUCGCAAGGAU
rnacentral:rRNA from 1 species